rnacentral:rRNA from 1 species
GCUUAGAGAGGGGUCAAUGUCCUAUCAGCUAGUUGGUAGGGUAAUGGCCUACCAAGGCUAAGACGGGUAGCCGGCCUGAGAGGGUGGUCGGCCACACUGGGACUGAGACACUGCCCAGACUCCUACGGGAGGCUGCAGUCGAGAAUCUUUCGCAAUGCCCGAAAGGGUGACGAAGCGACGCCGCGUGUGGGAAGAAGGCCUUCGGGUUGUAAACCACUGUCGGGAGUUAAGAAAUGCAAGGGUGUUAAUAGCAUCCUUGCUUGACUAAGGCUCCGGAGGAAGCCACGGCUAACUCUGUGCCAGCAGCCGCGGUAAUACAGAGGCGGCAAGCGUUGUUCGGAAUUAUUGGGCGUAAAGAGCACGUAGGCGGCUUUGUAAGUCAAUUGUGAAAGCCUUCUGCUCAACGGAAGAACAGCAUCUGAUACUGCAAGGCUAGAGUGCGGAAGGG